UUAAUUGAAACCAAAAAAAAGAGGUUUAUCACUGUUAAUGAUACCAUUGAAUGAUUUCCAAUUAAA
rnacentral:tRNA from 1 species